AUUGAACGCUGGCGGCAUGCCUAACACAUGCAAGUCGAACGGCAGCACGGGGGCUACCCUUGUAGCGAGUGGCGAACGGGUGAGUAAUGCCUCGGAAUGUGCCCGGUCGUGGGGGAUAACGUACCGAAACCGGCGCUAAUACCGCAUACGACCUGAGGGUGAAAGCGGGGGACCUUCGGACCUCGCGCGAUCGGAGCGGCCUAGGUCGGAUUAGAUAGUUGGUGGGGUAAAUGCCUAACAAGGCGACGAUCGGUAACUGGUCUGAGAGGACGACCAGUCACCCUGUGACAGAGACACGGCCCAGACUCCUACGGGAGGACGCAGUGGGGAAUUUUGGACAAGGGGGGAGAGGCGGAUCCAGCCAUGCCGCGGGUAGGAUGAAGGACUUCGGCUGGGAAAGUGCUGUAGGAUGGAAGGAAGUGGAGCUGGUUAAUACCUGGUGAUAAUGACGGUACCGGGAGAAUAAGCACCGGCUAACUACGUG
rnacentral:rRNA from 1 species